AUUGAACGCUGGCGGCAGGCCUAACACAUGCAAGUCGAGCGGAGCGGCGGACGGGUGAGUAAUGCCUAGGAAUCUGCCAGGUAGUGGGGGAUAACGUCCGGUAAUGGGCGCUAAUACCGCUUACUAUCGGCAGAGCCUGGGCCGGAAUAGCUAGUUGGUGGGGUAAAGGCCUACCAAGGCGACGAUCAGUAACUGGUCUGAGUGGAAGAUCAGUCACACUGGAACUGAGACACGGUCCAGACUCCUACGGGAGGCAGCAGUGGGGAAUAUUGGACAAUGGGCGAAAGCCUGAUCCAGCCAUGCCGCGUGUGUGAAGAAGGCCUUCGGAUUGUAAAGCACUUUAAGUUAGGAGGCGUUACCAGCAGAAUAAGCACCGGCUAACUCCGUGCCAGCAGCCGCGGUAAUAC
rnacentral:rRNA from 1 species